UACGGGAGGCAGCGGUGGGGAAUAUUGGUCAAUGGGCGCAAGCCUGAACCAGCCAUGCCGCGUGAGUGAUGACGGCCUUCGGGUUGUAAAGCUCUUUCGCUAGGGAAGAAUUAAUGACGGUACCUAGAUAAGAAGUCCCGGCUAACUCCGUGCCAGCAGCCGCGGUAAU
rnacentral:rRNA from 1 species